rnacentral:lncRNA from 8 species
CUCUCUUCUCCUCUCCGCUCUCCUCUCUCCAUACUUUUCUCCUAUCUUCUCUACUCUCCUCUCUCCACACCUCUCCUCUCUCCUCUUUCCAUACCUCCUCUCUUCUAUUCUCUCCUCUCUCCUCUAUCCAUACCUCUCUUCUCCUCUCCUGUCUCCAUACCUCUCUUCUCCUCUCUUCUCCUCUCUCCAUACCUCUCUUCUCCUCUCCUCUCUCCAUACCUCUCUUCGCCUCUCUCCAUACCUCUCUUCUCCUCUCUUCUCUCCUCUAUCCAUACCUCUCUCCUCUUCUCCUCUCUCCAUACCUCUCCUCUCUCCUCUCUCCAUACCUCUCUCCUAUCUUCUCUAAUCUCCUUUCUUUCUCUUUCCUCUCUUUCUUUCCACACCUCUCCUCUCUCCUCUCUCCAUACCUCUCUUCUCCUCUCCUCUCUCCGCUCUCCAUACCUCUCUUCUCUUCUCCUCUCUUCUCCUCUCUUCUCCUCUCCUCUCUCCAUACCUCUCCUCUCUCCUCUCUCUCUCCUCUCUCCUCUCCUCUCUCCAUACCUCUCCUCUCUCAUUACCUCUCCUCUCUACAUACCUUCAUCUCUCCUUACCUCUCCUCUAAACUCUCUCCCCUCUACAUACCUCUCCUCUCUCCUCUUCUCUCUCCAUACCUCUCUCCUCUCCUCUCUCCAUACCUCUCCUCUCUCCUUACCUCUCCUCUCUCCUCUCCUCUCUCCUCUCUCCAUACCUCUCCUCUCUCCUUACCUCUCCUCUCUCCUCUGUCCUCUCCUCUCUCCAUGCCUCUCCUCUCUCCUCUCUCCUCUCCUCUCUCCUCUCCUCUCUCCAUACCUCUCCUCUCUCAUUACCUCUCCUCUCUCCAUACCUCUCUCCUCUUCUCUCGCCAUACCUCUCCUCUCUCCUUACCUCUCCUCUCUCCUCUCCUCUCUCCUCUCUCCAUACCUCUCCUCUCUCCUUACCUCUCCUCUCUCCUCUGUCCUCUCCUCUCUCCAUACCUCUCUCCUCUCUCCUCUCCUCUCUCCAUACCUCUCCUCUCUCCCUACCUCUCCUCUCUCCUCUCUCCAUACCUCUCCUCUCUCCUUAUCUCUCCUCUCUUCUUACCUCUCGUCUCUCCGAUCUCCUCUCUCCUCUCUCCAUACCUCUCUCCUCUCUCCGAUCUCCUCUCUCCAUACCUCUCUCCUCUCUCCUCUCCUCUCUCCAGACCUCUCUUCUCCUCUCUUCUCUCCUCUCUCCUCUCUCCAUACCUCUCUUCUCCUCUCUUCUCUCCUCUCUCCUCUAUCCAUACCUCUCUUCUCCUGUCCUCUCUCCAUACCUCUCUUCUCCUCUCUCCUCUAUCCAUACCUCUCUCCUCUCUCCAUACCUCUCUUCUCCUCUCUCCAUAACUCUCUUCUCCUCUCCGCUCUCCUCUCUCCAUACUUUUCUCCUAUCUUCUCUACUCUCCUCUCUCCACACCUCUCCCCUCUCCUCUUUCCAUACCUCCUCUCUUCUAUUCUCUCCUCUCUCCUCUAUCCAUACCUCUCUUCUCCUCUCCCCUCUCCAUACCUCUCUUCUCCUCUCCCCUCUCCUGUCUCCAUACCUCUCUUCUCCUCUCUUCUCCUCUCUCCAUACAUCUCCACUCCUCUCUCCAUACCUCUCCUCUCCUCUCUCCAUACCUCUCUUCUCCUCUCUUCUCUCCUCUCUCCAUACCUCUCUUCUCUUCUCCUCUCUCCAUACCUCUCUUCUCCUCUCUUCUCUCCUCUCUCCAUACCUCUCUUCUCCUCUCCUCUCUCCUCUCUCCAUACAUCUCUUCUCCUCUCCUCUCUCUCCUCUCUCCAUACCUCUCUUCUCCUUUCCUCUCUCCUCUCUACAUACCUCUCUUCUCCUCUCCUCUCUCCUCUCUCCAUACCUCUCUUCUCCUCUCUUCUCCUCUCCUCUCUUCAUACCUCUCUUCUCCUCUCCUCUCUCCAUACCUCUCUCCUUACCUCUCCUCUCUCCAUACCUCUCCUCUCUCUUCUCUCCAUACCUCUCUCCUAUCUUCUCUUCUCUACUCUCCUCUCUUUCUCUUUCCUCUCUUUCUUUCCACACCUCUCCUCUCUCCUCUCUCCAUACCUCCUCUCCUCUCUCCAUACAUCUCUUCUCCUCUCUUCUCUCCUCUCUCCUCUAUCCAUACCUCUCUUCUCCUAUUUCCAUACCUCUCUUCUCCUCUCCUCUCUCCUCUCUCCAUACCGCUCUUCUCCUCUCUUCUCCUCUCCUCUCUCCAUACCUCUUUUCUCCUCUCCUCUCCAUACCUCUCUCCUCUCUCCAUACCUCUCUUCUCCCUCUUCUCCAUACUUCUCUUCUCCUCUCUUCUCUUCUCUCUCCAUACCUCUCUUCUCAUCUCUUCUCUUCUCUCUCCUCUAUCCAUACCUCUUCUCCUCUCUCCUCUCUUCUCCUCUCCUCUCUCUCUCCAUACCUCUCUUCUCCUCUCUUCUCCUCUCCUCUCUCCAUACCUCUCUUCUCCUCUCCUCUCUCCUUUCUCCAUACCUCUCUUCUCCUCUUUCCAUACCUCUCUUCUCCUCUCCUCUCUCCAUACCUCUCUUCUCCUCUCUUCUCUCCUCUCUCCUCUACCCAUACCUCUCUUCUCCUCUCCUCUCUCCAUACCUCUCUUCUCCUCUCCUCUCUCCUCUCUCCAUACCUCUCUUCUCCUCUCCUCUCUCCUCUAUCCAUACCUCUCUUCUCCUCUCCUCUCUCCAUACCUCUCUUCUCCUCUCCUGUCUCCUCUCCCAUACCUCUCUUCUCCUCUCUCCUCUAUCCAUACCUCUCUCCUAUCUCCAUACCUCUCUUCUCCUCUCUUCUCUUCUCUCUCCAUACCUCUCUUCUUCUCUCCUCUCUCCUCUAUCCAUACCUCUCUUCUCCUCUCCUCUUGCCUCUCCUCUCCUUUUUUGUGUUUUUGAAAGAGUGGUGAAGUCUGACAGGGAUUUUAGUUAA